GGGCUCGUCGUCUAACGGGAAGACGCUGCGCUUGCAACGCGGAGAUCAGGGUUCGAUUCCCUGCGUGGUCCACCA
rnacentral:tRNA from 1 species